rnacentral:rRNA from 1 species
GAUGAACGCUGGCGGCGCGCCUAACACAUGCAAGUCGUGCGAUCGGCCUCGGUGAAGUCCCUUCGGGGACGGAACCGGGGUACGGAGCGGCGGACGGGUGAGUAACGCGUGGCUAACCUGCCUCCGCGACGGGGAUAACCCUGGGAAACUGGGGCUAAUACCCGAUGGGCUCACGGACCUACGGGCCUGUGAGUAAAGGCGCUCUCGGGCGCCGCGCGGGGAGGGGGCCGCGUCCUAUCAGCUAGUUGGUGGGGUAAUGGCCCACCAAGGCUAUGACGGGUAGCCGGCCUGAGAGGGUGGUCGGCCACACGGGCACUGAGACACGGGCCCGACUCCUACGGGAGGCAGCAGUGGGGAAUCUUGGGCAAUGGGCGAAAGCCUGACCCAGCGACGCCGCGUGCGGGAUGAAGCCCUUCGGGGUGUAAACCGCUUUUCUGGGGGAAGAAUAAGUCCGGGAGGAAAUGCCCGGACGAUGACGGUACCCCAGGAAUAAGGGACGGCUAACUACGUGCCAGCAGCCGCGGUAAGACGUAGGUCCCGAGCGUUAUCCGGAUUCACUGGGCGUAAAGCACGCGCAGGCGGCCGCGCAAGUUGGGGGCGAAAGCCCUCGGCUCAACCGAGGAAUUGCUCCCGAUACUGCGUGGCUAGAGGGCGGCAGAGGGAGGUGGAACUACCGGAGUAGCGGUGAAAUGCGUAGAUACCGGUAGGUACCUCGAUGGCGAAGGCAACCUCCUGGGCCGUCCCUGACGCUCAAGCGUGAAAGCGUGGGGAGCGAACCGGAUUAGAUACCCGGGUAGUCCACGCCCUAAACGAUGUGGGCUAGGUGUUGGCCCUCUAAAAUUGGGUCAGUGCCGCAGCUAACGCGUUAAGCCCACCGCCUGGGGAGUACGGUCGCAAGGCUGAAACUCAAGGGAAUUGACGG